UACUAAUCAUGAUGAUUUGGUUUAAUCAAUGGGAAUCUCUCUGAAAAAGGAUGAGGGAACUCUUCAAACUGACUUAGUA